GACGAACGCUGGCGGCGUGCUUAACACAUGCAAGUCGAACGGAAAGGCCCUGCUUUUGUGGGGUGCUCGAGUGGCGAACGGGUGAGUAACACGUGAGUAACCUGCCCUUGACUUUGGGAUAACUUCAGGAAACUGGGGCUAAUACCGGAUAGGAGCUCCUGCUGCAUGGUGGGGGUUGGAAAGUUUCGGCGGUUGGGGAUGGACUCGCGGCUUAUCAGCUUGUUGGUGGGGUAGUGGCUUACCAAGGCUUUGACGGGUAGCCGGCCUGAGAGGGUGACCGGCCACAUUGGGACUGAGAUACGGCACAGACUCCUACGGGAGGCAGCAGUGGGGAAUAUUGCACAAUGGGCGGAAGCCUGAUGCAGCAACGCAGCGUGCGGGAUGACGGCCUUCGGGUUGUAAACCGCUUUCGCCUGUGACGAAGCGUGAGUGACGGUAAUGGGUAAAGAAGCACCGGCUAACUACGUG
rnacentral:rRNA from 1 species